AAGGAAUAUUGGUCAAUGGACGCAAGUCUGAACCAGCCAUGCCGCGUGAAGGAUGAAGGUCCUCUGGAUUGUAAACUUCUUUUAUCUGGGACGAAAACGGGAUUUUUAUCUCAAUUGACGGUACCAGAGGAAUAAGCACCGGCUAACUCCGUGCCAGCAGCCGCGGUAAUACGGAGGGUGCGAGCGUUAUCCGGAUUUACUGGGUUUAAAGGGUGCGUAGGUGGGCUUAUAAGUCAGUGGUGAAAUCUCCGAGCUUAACUUGGAAACUGCCGUUGAUACUAUAGAUCUUGAAUUAUCUGGAGGUAAGCGGAAUAUGUCAUGUAGCGGUGAAAUGCUUAGAUAUGACAUAGAACACCAAUUGCGAAGGCAGCUUACUACAUAUAAAUUGACGCUGAGGCACGAAAGCGUGGGUAUCAAACA
rnacentral:rRNA from 1 species